UUGCUUUGGCAGCACAGAUACUAAAAUUGGAACAAUACAAAGACGAUCAGCACGGCCUCUGUGCAAGGAUGACAUGCAAAUUCGUGAAGCGCUUCAUAUUUUU
ensembl:snRNA U6 U6 spliceosomal RNA